AAAGGAGAGCUAGAUGUGUCCCAGCUUGGACAUCAUGGAGAGUGAAAUCAAAGUUCUGUUUGCUUUGCCUGAUCUCCUAGGGGUAAUUAUUUCCCACUGACUCAGACCACAGGACAGUGUGAGCACCCAACAAAUAGGACUGCAGUUAAGAGCUAGGGCUAGGACUUGGAGGAUGUGUAGGCAAACGGAAAGAGAGCCGGGGGAAGAAAAACCGAAAUGGAUUCAUUCUCUGUCCUGGAUGGAGGAGGAGAGGAGAAGAGAAGGGGACGUGCGAGCUUCCUUCAACUGCCUCUGUCCGGUGAAAAGUGCUCAGACCCCCGGGGCUGCGCCGGACUCCGGAGUCCGCGCGGACUUUCGCGUUGAGCUGCCAAUCAAACCGCUCACAGCCACCACCCUGCUCUGGCACCGACAUGGUCUGUGUGAUCUCCUCCCGUGAGAGGCAACUCAGCAGCUCGUCCCCUCUGCCAUCUCAGCACUGCCACUGGAGAAGCCCAGGAGGAGCAGAGCAGUGGCUGAGCAGCAAUUUGAAUAUCCAUAUUUAACUCUUCAAACAACAGAAGAUACUUCAGAACCAUGUUAAGAAGGAUAAGCUUGGAGUGCCCAGUCACCGUGGUAACUGCCAGAAAAAUUCUCCUGAAGUUUGAAGAGGUCAGCUAACGGGGUCAACAACUCUGGCCUCUCUCUGAGCUGGGCCUGGCAGGCUCCAUCCUGCGGU